rnacentral:lncRNA from 1 species
AAAUUAUAAUCCUGGUACCUUUGAUAACUAUUUACACCACUGGGUCGAUGCCACUGCUGGUGGACGUUUCGUCCCCGAGGGUAUCACCAGCCCAGUAGUCAACACUUCGGUGUUGACAUGAAUAUCAAUAAUGUGGUCAUUUUAAUAAAUUUCCUGUUACAAAACUUUGAAUUAUCGAAAAACUAAGGAUUUUCUUAUCCCAGGCAUAGAUUACCUUAGCCGUAUUUGGCACAACUUUUUGGAAUUUUGGAUCCUCAAUGCUCUUAAACUUUGUACUUGUUUGGCUUUAUGAAUAUUUUGAUAUGAGCGUCACUGAUGAGUCUUAUGUAGACGAAACGCGCGUCUGGCGUACUGAAUUAUAAUCCUG